rnacentral:tRNA from 1 species
GGGAAUGUGGCUUAGUGGUAGAGUACUUGCCUAGUAUGUAUGAAGCCCUGGGUUCGAUUCCUCAGUACCA